AGAGUUUGAUCAUGGCUCAGGACGAACGCUGGCGGCGUGCCUAACACAUGCAAGUCGAACGGGAUCCAUGCCAUGAAGUUUUCGGAUGGAUUGGUGUGGUGAGAGUGGCGAACGGGCGAGUAACGCGUGAGCAACCUACCUCGUACUGGGGGAUAACGUCGGGAAACCGGCGCUAAUACCGCAUAAGACUACGAUGUCGCAUGGCGUUGUAGUCAAAGCUCCGGCGGUACGAGACGGGCUCGCGUCCGAUUAGCUAGUUGGUAGGGUAACGGCCUACCAAGGCGACGAUCGGUAGCCGGACUGAGAGGUCGGCCGGCCGCAUUGGGACUGAGACACGGCCCAGACUCCUACGGGAGGCAGCAGUGGGGAAUAUUGCGCAAUGGGGGAAACCCUGACGCAGCGACGCCGCGUGAAGGAAGAAGGCCUUCGGGUUGUAAACUUCUUUGGCAGGGGACGAAGAAAGACGGUACCCUGAGAACAAGCCACGGCUAACUACGUGCCAGCAGCCGCGGUAAUACGUAGGUGGCGAGCGUUGUCCGGAAUUACUGGGCGUAAAGGGCGUGUAGGCGGGGGGACAAGUCAGAUGUGAAAUACCGCAGCUUAACUGCGGGGCUGCAUCUGAAACUGUUCUUCUUGAGUGUCGGAGAGGAAAGUGGAAUUCCCAGUGUAGCGGUGAAAUGCGUAGAGAUUGGGAGGAACACCAGUGGCGAAGGCGGCUUUCUGGACGACAACUGACGCUGAGGCGCGAAAGCGUGGGGAGCAAACAGGAUUAGAUACCCUGGUAGUCCACGCUGUAAACGAUGGAUACUAGGUGUAGGAGGUAUCGACCCCUUCUGUGCCGGAGUUAACACAAUAAGUAUCCCGCCUGGGGAGUACGGCCGCAAGGUUGAAACUCAAUGAAUUGACGG
rnacentral:rRNA from 1 species